AGGCACCGGCUCUUUCCCUACCUCUUCUUGAAUCUGAGGUGCCCUUGAAACAUGCUUUGAUCAUGUUCUGUACACGGCAGUAGUGACCUUGUGUGGUUUCCACAGUCAGGUCAGAAGAGGCCCCACACCUUCUGCUUUCACUCUCCUGGGAUGCUUCCCUGAGAGCACCACAGGGGUCCAGCCUACUAGGGGCUGAAAGACCACAUGGAGGACGACACAGGUGUGCUAGUGGCCAGCCACCAUGAGCUGUCAGGCCUGGCCUCAUGUCUUCAGCCUUCACCCUCUUCCCUUGAACAUCUCGAGACCUCAGCUUGAUUGCAUGGUAACGUUACGCUAGAAGGUGUCUUUAUGAAAAGAGGAGAUUAAGACUCAGGCCUGGAGGGAAGGCCUUGUAAGGACGGCGUAGAUGCUCACCUGCAAGUCAAGGAGAGGAACCUCAAAAGCAGUCAAGCCUGUUUACACCUUGAUCUUGGACUUGGGAGCCUCCAGAACUGUGAGGAA